CCUGUCCUAAAGGCAGUGAAACUGACCUGAAGCCACUUCACGUGGGACAGUAUAUGGCUUAUAAUUCUUGCACUGGGUAAAAACCUGCAGUCUUUGGCUGCAGUUUUUGAAUUAGUUGCAGAGUUGGAAGGCAUUGUGGUCAGAUUCCUGUCUACAGGAACAGAAAUAUUUUCUAAAAACUGGCUGAUUCAUACAGUCUCUUCCAUUACAUAUCAGGAAUAUCUCAUCUGCUACAGUACAUAGGUUGACUUGAGCUGUAUUUCCCCCUUUCUGGGCUGAAUAGAGCUCUAUGAAAUGGAAAGCAAGCAGUGAAUUGCUAAACCAGACAUUAAAUCCAGUAUGUGUCCCAGACCUCAAAUCACUAGAGAAAUAAUGGAAAAUCGAGUCAGGAAAGUGAGAAAAAUGUCAGACCUGAAGGCUGAAAUGCUCAAAAAU